AUUGAACGCUGGCGGAAGGCCUAAAACAUGCAAGUCGAACGAGUGGCGGACGGGUGCGUAAUGUCUGGGCAACUGCCCGAUGGAGGGGGAUAACUACGGGAAACAGUAGCUACUACCGCAUACCAUCGGAUGUGCCCAGAUGGGAUUAGCUAGUAGGUGGGGUAACGGCUCACCUAGGCGGCGAUCCCUAGAUGGUCUGAGAGGAUGACCAGCCACACUGGAACUGAGACACGGUCCAGACUCCUACGGGAGGCAGCAGGGGGGAAUAUUGCACAAUGGGCGCAAGCCUGAUGCAGCCAUGCCGCGUGUAUGAAGAAGGCCUUCGGGUUGUAAAGUACUUUCAGCGAGGAGGCGUUACUCGCAGAAGAAGCACCGGCUAACUCCGUGCCAGCAGCCGCGGUAAUUC
rnacentral:rRNA from 1 species